UCCCUGGUGGCUCAGACAGUAAAGUAUCUGCCUGCAAUGCAGGACACCUAGGUUCAAUCCCUUUGUAGGGAA
rnacentral:tRNA from 1 species